UAUGUUAAUAGCAUACUCAUUUGACGUUAGCUGCAGAAGAAGCACCGGCUAACUCCGUGCCAGCAGCGCGGUAAUACGGAGGUGCGAGCGUUAAUCGGAAUUACUGGCGUAAAGCGCAUGCAGGUGGUUUGUUAAGUCAGAUGUGAAAGACCCGGGGCGUCAACCUCCGGAAUUGCAUUUGUAAACUAGGCAAACUAGAGUACUGUAGAGGGGGGUAGGAAUUUCUAGGUGUAGCGGUGAAAUAGCGUAGAGAUCUGAAGGAAUACCGGUGGCGAAGGCGGCCCCCUCGGACAGAUACUGACACUCAGAUGCGAAAGCGUGGGGAGCAAACAGGAUUAGAUACCCUGGUAG
rnacentral:rRNA from 1 species